UAUUGGUCAAUGGUCGGGAGACUGAACCAGCCAAGCCGCGUGAGGGAAGAAGGUACAGCGUAUCGUAAACCUCUUUUGCCGGGGAACAAGAGCUUCCACGAGUGGGAGUGUGAGCGUACCCGGAGAAAAAGCAUCGGCUAACUCCGUGCCAGCAGCCGCGGUAAUACGGAGGAUGCGAGCGUUAUCCGGAUUUAUUGGGUUUAAAGGGUGCGGAGGCGGUCUGUUAAGUCAGCGGUCAAAGCCCGGGGCUCAACCCCGGGCCGCCGUUGAAACUGGCAGUCUCGAGUUGGAGAGAAGUAUGCGGAAUGCGCGGUGUAGCGGUGAAAUGCAUAGAUAUCACGCAGAACUCCGAUUGCGAAGGCAGCAUACCGGCGCCCGACUGACGCUGAGGCACGAAAGCGUGGGUAUCGAACAGG
rnacentral:rRNA from 1 species